rnacentral:misc_RNA from 1 species
GAUGAAGAACGUAGCAAAAUGCGAUAAGUAAUGUGAAUUGCAGAAUUCAGUUAAUCAUCGAAUCUUUGAACGCACAUUGCGCCCGCCAGUAUUCUGGCGGGCAUGCCUGUUCGAGCGUCAUUUCAACCCUCAAGCACAGCUUGGUGUUGGGACUCGCGUUAAUUCGCGUUCCUCAAAUUGAUUGGCGGUCACGUCGAGCUUCCAUAGCGUAGUAGUAAAACCCUCGUUACUGGUAAUCGUCGCGGCCACGCCGUUAAACCCCAACUUCUGAAUGUUGACCUCGGAUCAGGUAGGAAUACCCGCUGAACUUAAGCAUAUCAAUAAGCGGAGGA